UAUAGGUGUGGUAGUGGCUCGCGUCCGUGUCUCAGUUGAGAAGAAAAAUAAGGUUGGUUGAUGCUUUUGUCUAGCCAAGCCAAUUCAGAUGCACCACAUGCAGACCAAUAGCAUCUAGCCACGGUUCAAGGGUCACACAUGUGCAUUGCAGCAGUGGAAGGCCCAACUUUUGUCUUCCAUCACAGAUUGGGGAUCUACUCCAUUUAACUAAUCUGAAUCACGUGAUCUUUUCUCCGAGCUGAGAAGAAAAUGAUGUAAAAUUGGUGGUCCAGGUUUGGGCCGUUGAGACCAAUUCAUCUACUCCGUUGGUGAAUAUGAAUAUUCAGUAGAGUGAGUGACCUGGCAAGACCGGGGGUGCCAGCUCGACAACACAGAAGUGCUGCAGAUAUUGAAGCCGCAAAGUGCCCUGGCUCAAUGCCUUGGACUAAAAGACCUUGCAUGAUAAUGUUAAUUCCCCAUUGAGGCCUAUUAUACUUGUGUAAUAAAAAGAUUUAUUGGCUUUUGCUGCUAUGUUGGUUCAACUUUGUGAGCUCAAGAUCAUGUAGUCCUCAGGCCAAAGGAGUUUCUUAUUUGCACUUUUCAUACAUUUUGUAACUAUUAACUUCAGAAUUUUCAAUAAGAAAUGGACAGUAUAUCUUUUUC